UGCAAGUGUACCAAAGUGGUUAAAUGGGCCAGACUGUAAAUCUGGCGUCCUAACGGGCUACGGUGGUUCGAAUCCACCCACUUGCACCAU
rnacentral:tRNA from 1 species